GAUAAACGCUGGCGGCGUGCCUAAUACAUGCAAGUCGAGCGAACGGACGAGAAGCUUGCUUCUCUGAUGUUAGCGGCGGACGGGUGAGUAACACGUGGAUAACCUACCUAUAAGACUGGGAUAACUUCGGGAAACCGGAGCUAAUACCGGAUAAUAUUUUGAACCGCAUGGUUCAAAAGUGAAAGACGGUCUUGCUGUCACUUAUAGAUGGAUCCGCGCUGCAUUAGCUAGUUGGUAAGGUAACGGCUUACCAAGGCAACGAUGCAUAGCCGACCUGAGAGGGUGAUCGGCCACACUGGAACUGAGACACGGUCCAGACUCCUACGGGAGGCAGCAGUAGGGAAUCUUCCGCAAUGGGCGAAAGCCUGACGGAGCAACGCCGCGUGAGUGAUGAAGGUCUUCGGAUCGUAAAACUCUGUUAUUAGGGAAGAACAUAUGUGUAAGUAACUGUGCGCAUCUUGACGGUACCUAAUCAGAAAGCCACGGCUAACUACGUGCCAGCAGCCGCGGUAAUACGUAGGUGGCAAGCGUUAUCCGGAAUUAUUGGGCGUAAAGCGCGCGUAGGCGGUUUUUUAAGUCUGAUGUGAAAGCCCACGGCUCAACCGUGGAGGGUCAUUGGAAACUGGAAAACUUGAGUGCAGAAGAGGAAAGUGGAAUUCCAUGUGUAGCGGUGAAAUGCGCAGAGAUAUGGAGGAACACCAGUGGCGAAGGCGACUUUCUGGUCUGUAACUGACGCUGAUGUGCGAAAGCGUGGGGAUCAAACAGGAUUAGAUACCCUGGUAGUCCACGCCGUAAACGAUGAGUGCUAAGUGUUAGGGGGUUUCCGCCCCUUAGUGCUGCAGCUAACGCAUUAAGCACUCCGCCUGGGGAGUACGACCGCAAGGUUGAAACUCAAAGGAAUUGACGGGGACCCGCACAAGCGGUGGAGCAUGUGGUUUAAUUCGAAGCAACGCGAAGAACCUUACCAAAUCUUGACAUCCUUUGACAACUCUAGAGAUAGAGCCUUCCCCUUCGGGGGACAAAGUGACAGGUGGUGCAUGGUUGUCGUCAGCUCGUGUCGUGAGAUGUUGGGUUAAGUCCCGCAACGAGCGCAACCCUUAAGCUUAGUUGCCAUCAUUAAGUUGGGCACUCUAAGUUGACUGCCGGUGACAAACCGGAGGAAGGUGGGGAUGACGUCAAAUCAUCAUGCCCCUUAUGAUUUGGGCUACACACGUGCUACAAUGGACAAUACAAAGGGCAGCGAAACCGCGAGGUCAAGCAAAUCCCAUAAAGUUGUUCUCAGUUCGGAUUGUAGUCUGCAACUCGACUACAUGAAGCUGGAAUCGCUAGUAAUCGUAGAUCAGCAUGCUACGGUGAAUACGUUCCCGGGUCU
rnacentral:rRNA from 1 species